rnacentral:rRNA from 1 species
UACGUAGGGUGCAGGCGUUAAUCGGAAUUACUGGGCGUAAAGCGUGCGCAGGCGGUUUUGUAAGUUUGUCGUGAAAUCCCCGGGCUCAACCUGGGAAUGGCGAUGAAGACUGCAAGGCUAGAAUCUGGCAGAGGGGGGUAGAAUUCUACGUGUAGCAGUUGAAAUGCGUAGAGAUGUGGAGGAAUACCGAUGGCGAAGGCAGCCCCCUGGGCCAAUACUGACGCUCAUGCACGAAAGGCGUGGGGAGCAAACGAGG